rnacentral:rRNA from 1 species
UACGUAGGCAGCAAGCGUUGUUCGGAAUUACUGGGCGUAAAGGGCUCGUAGGUGGCCAACUAAGUCAGACGUGAAAUCCCUCGGCUUAACCGGGGAACUGCGUCUGAUACUGGAUGGCUUGAGGUUGGGAGAGGGAUGCGGAAUUCCAGGUGUAGCGGUGAAAUGCGUAGAUAUCUGGAGGAACACCGGUGGCGAAGGCGGCAUCCUGGACCAAUUCUGACGCUGAGGAGCGAAAGCCAGGGGAGCAAA